AUGCCCAGGGCGGGCAUUCCCGACGCAAGGUCUUCUUGAGUUUCCGUUUCGUACCAGUCAGUCUUAUUUGACCCCCUGCACAAUCCUAGAGGGGUUUUGCUGCUGAGGAAUCCCCCUGUGAAAGAAUAAAGGAUAUGGUGAAAAAUGCCAGGAAGUCAUUUGUGGAUAAGACAGGAAGCAAGGAUGUUGGGGGCCUUGCAGAUAAUGACUGGUCUGUUUGUUCACGCCCUGGGAGUGCUCUGGACAUAUCUGUUAGUCACACAAAUUCUAGCAUUUCAGAAAGUAUAUCUUCCUGUUGCAGCACUGUCAGGAUUCCCGUUUUGGGCAGCAGCUUUUUUUUUGCUGUCAGGAAUCUUUACAGUACUGUUUGAGAGGAGGCGUUCAAGGUCUUUGAUGACCUGUUCUAUAGUGUUGAACGUCUUGAGUGCCUGCAGUGCCGUGAUCGGUCUGCUUUUACUAUGUCUUGAAUUUUUAAUCUUUGGUUUAGCUAAAAAAUCUAUUUGGCCACAUAGAGCUGGUAAAAUCCUUUCAAACUAUUUGUUCCUAUUCACCCUUUUGGAGCUGUGUGUGACAUCCACAUUGAUCAACUGGUUGUACAAAGCGAAAUACAGCAGAUGACGAAGACGGGUGCACGGCAGAGAGGACCCUUUACCUACACAUUAAAGAGCCAUGAUGACCUCAGUCGAGGAGGGAAAUACAGUGGCAAAUGAAGAACUUCAUUUUAUUCAAGAGGCUGGUGGGAAGAUACAUUUUAAUUAAAUUCAUCUCAGUAUUCCCUUUCCCCCAUUAAUAAAAGCUUAAACUGAUAA